rnacentral:sRNA from 1 species
AGUGUUUCUUAAUACUACAAGAAUACUAAAAGAAUUAAACUCACCCGUUUAAUUCUUUUUUUUCUGGGACGGAGUUUCGCUCUUGUUGCCCAGGCUCGAGUGCAAUGGCGCGAUCUCGGUUCACUGCAACCUCCGGCUGUUGGGUUCAAGUGAUUCGCCGCCUCAGCCUCCUGAGUAGCUGGGAUUACAGGCAUGUGCCACUACACCUGGCUAAUUUUUAUAUUUUAAGUAGAGAUGAGGUUUCACCAUGUUGGCCAGGCUGGUCUCGAACUAAUCUCAGGUGAUCCGCCCGCCUCGACCUCCCAAAGUGCUGGGAUUACAGGCUUGAGCCACCACGCCCAGCUGCAUACAAAUUUUAGAAUAAGUUGAGUUCCUAAAAGCCACUGGAAUUUUUAUUGGGAGUGCUUUGAAACUGUUUUCUGUCAAUGUAAAAGUUUUGAUUUUUUUGCUUUGUGAAUGUAUUUUUAGCUGAUUAUUGCUGUAGUACAAAAAUGCUGUUGGUUCUGGAGGAUGAUCUUACAUCUGGCAACUUUGUGGAACUCCCUGGGUAAAUCAGUGUUGCUCGGUGAUUCUGCUGUUUUCCAGCAGGAGGAUUCCUGCAAAUGAGAGUUUGGUAUUUUCCCUCCCAGCCCUCACUCCUCCCAUCUCUGCCUUUGCAGUGGCCAGCACAGUGUUAAACAGGACCGUCCAUGUGGGCAUGUUGUGUUCCUGAUUUUAAAGGGAAUGCAUCUACAUAACCACAGAAUUUGGCUAAGGAGUUUUGUUUUUUGUUUUUAAUCAUAAAGAAAUACUGAAUUUCAAAUUCUUUUUCUGCAUCAUUUGAGACACGUGAUUUAUUUUCUUUAUUAAUGCAGGAAAUUACAUUGUUAUAUUUUCUUGUAUUCCUGGAAUAAGCCUUACUUAAAUCACGAUAUUUAUAUAUAAAUUUUGAUAUGCUUUUGGAUUCAACUAGCCAAUAUUGUAUUUUUGUGUUUCUGUUCAUAAGUGAAAUGGAUAUAUAUAUAUAUGUAUAUAUAUUUCCUUUUUUUUUUUUUUUUUUGAGACGGAGUCUCGCUCUGUUGCCCAGGCUGGAGUGCAGUGGCGUGAUCUCGGCUCAGUGCAAGCUCCGCCUCCCAGGUUCACGCCAUUCUCCUGCCUCAGCCUCCCGAGUAGCUGGGACUACAGGCGCCCGCCACCAUGCUUGGCUAAUUUUUUUGUAUUUUUAGUAGAGAUGGGGUUUCACUAUGUUAGCCAGGAUGGUCUUGAUCUCCUGACCUUGUGAUCCGCCUGCCUCGGGCUCCCAAAGUGCUGGGAUUACAGGCAUGAGCCACCGCGACUGGCCUAUGUUUCUUUUUGUGUAUUGUCCUUAUGUAAUUUUGACAUGUUUGAUAAAUGGCAUUUGGCAUACAAGUAGAACUUGUUGGAGCUAAUCUGUAAAACCAUUGGGACCUUGAGCUUUGGGGAAGGAAAGUCUUGGAUUAGCAUUUAUGCAUUUAUAUUUUCUUUUUUUUUUUUUUUUAAAGAGUUGGGGUUUUGCUCUGUUGUCCAGCCUAGAGUACAGUGGUGCGAUUAUAGCUCACUGCAGCCUUGAACUCCUGGGCUCAAGUGAUUCUUCCACUUGAGUUUCCCUAGUAGCUGGGACUAUACGUGUGCGCCACCAUGCUCAGCUGUUUUUUCUUUCUUUGUAGAGUUGGGGUCUGUCAUGUUGCCGCAGGCUAGUCUUAAACUUCUGGCCUCAAGCAGUCCUGCCUCGGCCUUCCAAAAUGCUGGGAUUAUAGGCAUGAGCCACCUUGCCUGGCAUUUCCUUUGGUUUUAAUCUGUUAUAUUUGUAAUUGUGUCUCUUAUUCUCUGUUUUUUGGCAGCAUCUUCUCACUAAGUGGACCUUGAUUGGUUUUGUCAUGAGUCUGUCAUAUUCAUGUUUUCAAAUAACUGGCUUUUGGUUUUUGCCUUUUUUGGGGGGUUGGGUUGGAGGAUGUUUUUAUUUGUCUUUGUUCUCUAGCUCUCUGAAUCCUGCCCCAGAUUUAUUAUUUUCUUCCUUUUUAUUUAUGUGAGUUUGAUGUGUGUGGUGUUUGUUUGUUUUGCUUUUUUAAUUUUUUGAGACAAAGUUUCACUCUGUUUCCCAGAGUAGAGUGCAGUGGCUUACUGCAGCCUGGACUGCCUGGGUUCCAGCGAUCCUCCCACCGUGUUGGCCAGGCUGGUCUCGAACUCCUGACCUUCAGGUGAUCCACCCGCCUUGGCCUCCCAAAGUGCUGGAAUUACAGGUGUGAGCCACCACGCCUGGCCAUUCUCAACUUCUUGAACUUACUAUUUACCUCAUUUGUGUUUUAAAAUGAUCAUUUCUAGUAAAUGUAUCUAAAAGUAUAAAAUUUUUCCGGGUAUAGUGGCAUAUGCCUAUAAUCUCAGUUACUUAGGAGGCUGAGGCAGGAGGAUUGUUUGAGCCCAGGAGUUUGAGGCCAGCCUGGGCAACAUAGCGAGACCACAUGUCUGCAAAGAAUUUAAAAAUUAGCUGGGUGUGGUGUCACGCACCUGUAGUCCUAGCUACUCAGUAGGUUGAGGCGGGAGGAUUGGUCUAGGCUAUAGUCAGCUGUGAUGGUGCCACUGCACUCCGGCCUGAGUGCUAGAGCAAGACCGUAUCUCUAAAUAAAUAACAUUUUAUCUUUACAUACUGCUUGGGCUGCAUUCUAUAAAUUCUGACUCAUAAUAAAUACAGUUGCCACUUAGUCAUUUAUUAUGUAGUUUCCAAGUAGCUAAUGGCAUCUAAGCACCAUUUUGUGGUGAGUUUCACACUGAGUUGCAUUUGCCUGGGCGCGUGUUAUGUGGUAUGUUCUUUGGCAUGUCUGUGACUCAGUUUGUGGCUUGACCCAAGGCUGUUUCUUUGUUCCACAUGUACUUGGAGAGAAUAUGCAUUUUCUGUUGAAUGUGGAGUCCUGCCUGCAUAUGGGGGUUUCAGCUUAUUGGCUAUAGGCCUUUGGAAUCUCUGCCUGCCUCUUUCCUUCCAGUUGGGGGAACCCUGAAGGAAGCUUCUAAACAGAGGCCUUGGCUGGCCCAUGGAUCAACUGCUCAUCUCUGUACUGACCGGCACAAAGAGGGUAUGGGGGCAGGUGGCCCCAAGAAGGCAGGGUGCCAGGUGGGCCCCCACAGGUCUCUGCCACCCAGUCUGCAGCGAGGGAGGCAGGCCCUGAGGCAUCCUUUGUGCAGGGACUUGAGGCUGGAAGGACACUGGCUGAGGACUGGACCUUGGAGCUUUCUGAUGCAAAAUGUGCUUCGUUUGUGUCUAUUCGUCGUUGUUUGUUAUCUUAUUUUGUAACCACCCCUGCCUCUUGGAGCAUCUCUGCUCUCUGAACUGAGGGACAGGCCCGGCUCUGCUAAGUGAAGCUUGGGCUUCUUCUUCUCUUUCCCGAGUUCCAGGGGUAGAGGCGGACUGCCCUUUGCAGACUGUUUGGUGACAGGGUUGCCUGGAGAUUGUGGGAGUCAGGUAUCCCUUGCUGUCCAGCCACAGGUGGUGGACAGAUCUGGACAGAAAGGGCUGCUGUGUCCCCAGAUUCUCCCCACCCUCCACCCCCUCUCCCUGCAGGAGCUUGGCCUGUGCCUUGUAGCCCCCUUGCCCCUUUCCAUUUGGAAACUGGGGAAGGCUUAGCCCUGUGCUGCACACUUCCCGUCAUGCUGACACUGUUGUCUUCUCUGCCGCACACACAGCAGGAUUCCUGGUUUUCAAGCCUGAGCUGAUCUCUCGGCUGGAGCAGGGAGAAGAGCCAUGGGUCCUCGACCUGCAGGGAGCAGAGGGGACAGAGGCACCAAGGACCUCCAAGACAGAUUCUACGAUUAGGACUGAAAAUGAGCAGGCCUGUGAGGACAUGGACAUCCUAGAAUCAGAAUCCUAUGGGACAGUGGUCAGAAUCUCCCCACAGGACUUUCCUCAGAAUCCUGGCUUUGGAGACGUUUCUGAUUCUGAGGUCUGGUUAGACAGUCAUCUGGGCAGUCCUGGGCUGAAAGUGACAGGCUUUACCUUCCAAAAUAACUGUUUGAAUGAGGAGACUGUGGUUCCCAAGACCUUCACCAAGGACGCAGCCCAGGGAUGUAAGGAGCUGGGAAGCAGCGGCCUGGAUUGUCAGCCUCUUGAAAGUCAGAGAGAGAGUGCAGAAGGGAUGUCCCAGAGAUGCGAGGAGUGUGGCAAAGGCAUCAGAGCCACUUCAGACAUCGCUCUGCAUUGGGAAAUUAAUACACAGAAAAUUAGCAGAUGUCAAGAAUGCCAAAAGAAGUUAUCUGACUGCUUGCAGGGGAAACAUCCAAAUAACUGCCAUGGAGAGAAGCCAUACGAAUGUGCAGAGUGUGGGAAAGUCUUCAGGCUCUGCUCGCAGCUUAAUCAGCAUCAGAGAAUCCACACGGGAGAGAAACCCUUUAAAUGCACUGAGUGUGGAAAAGCCUUCCGCCUGAGCUCAAAACUUAUUCAGCAUCAAAGAAUCCACACUGGGGAGAAGCCCUACAGAUGUGAGGAAUGUGGAAAAGCUUUUGGUCAGAGCUCAAGCCUCAUCCACCAUCAGAGAAUCCACACAGGAGAGAGGCCCUAUGGUUGUCAUGAGUGUGGGAAAGCCUUCAGCCAGCAGUCGCAGCUGGUUAGACACCAGAGAACUCACACUGGGGAGAGGCCCUACCCUUGCAAGGAGUGUGGGAAGGCCUUCAGCCAGAGCUCCACCCUAGCCCAGCAUCAAAGGAUGCAUACUGGGGAGAAAGCUCAAAUUCUAAAAGCCUCAGACAGUCCAAGCCUUGUUGCACAUCAGAGAAUUCACGCUGUAGAGAAACCAUUUAAGUGUGAUGAGUGUGGGAAAGCUUUUAGGUGGAUCUCUCGCCUGAGUCAGCAUCAGCUGAUUCACACUGGAGAGAAGCCUUAUAAAUGCAACAAGUGUACAAAAGCCUUUGGUUGUAGUUCACGGCUUAUUCGCCAUCAGAGAACUCACACUGGAGAAAAACCAUUUAAAUGUGAUGAGUGUGGCAAAGGCUUUGUUCAGGGCUCACACCUUAUUCAGCAUCAGCGAAUCCACACUGGAGAGAAACCCUAUGUGUGUAAUGACUGUGGAAAAGCUUUCAGUCAGAGUUCCAGCCUUAUUUACCAUCAGAGAAUCCAUAAAGGAGAGAAGCCCUACGAAUGCCUCCAAUGCGGAAAAGCCUUCAGCAUGAGCACACAGCUUACAAUACAUCAAAGGGUUCACACCGGAGAGAGGCCCUAUAAAUGUAAUGAAUGUGGGAAAGCCUUCAGUCAAAACUCAACCCUUUUCCAACACCAGAUAAUUCACGCAGGGGUGAAGCCCUAUGAGUGUAGUGAGUGUGGAAAAGCCUUCAGCCGGAGCUCAUAUCUUAUUGAACACCAGAGAAUACACACUAGGGCCCAGUGGUUUUACGAGUAUGGGAAUGCCCUGGAAGGGUCCACCUUUGUGAGCCGUAAAAAGGUUAAUACUAUAAAGAAACUGCAUCAGUGUGAAGACUGUGAGAAGAUAUUUAGGUGGCGUUCACACCUAAUUAUACACCAGAGAAUUCACACCGGCGAGAAGCCUUAUAAAUGCAAUGACUGUGGCAAAGCUUUUAAUCGUAGCUCAAGGCUUACCCAGCAUCAAAAAAUUCACACGGGAUAGACCACUUACAUAUAAAUGUGUAUAUAUGUGAAUAAACCUACAGCCUUAACUU